rnacentral:tRNA from 1 species
GGGGGUGUAGCUCAGCCUGGUAGAGUGUGUGGUUCGCAUCCGCAAGGUCGAGAGUUCAAAUCUCUUCACCUCCACCA